rnacentral:rRNA from 1 species
AGUGAAGCGGGGUGAGCUCAAAUUUAAAAUCUGGCUGGUUUACUAGUCCGAAUUGUAGUUUAUAGAAGCGUUUUCGGUGGCAGCCUGGGUAUAAAUCCUUUGGAAUAGGGUAUCAUAGAGGGUGAGAAUCCCGUCUUUGACCUAGUGCAUGCUACUAUGUGAUACGUUUUCAAAGAGUCGAGUUGUUUGGGAAUGCAGCUCAAAAUGGGUGGUAAAUUUCAUCUAAAGCUAAAUACAGGCGAGAGACCGAUAGCGAACAAGUACCGUGAGGGAAAGAUGAAAAGAACUUUGAAAAGAGAGUUAAACAGUGCGUGAAAUUGUUGAAAGGGAAACGUUUGACACCAGUUAUGCGGAUGGCAAAUCAGUCAAUUGCUGUAGGGAGUGGUAGGGGUUCGGACCGCAAGGCCGGCCUGUGCCUCAUUUUUGCAGUAAUUGAUGCACUUUGUCAUUUGCAGGUCAACAUCAGUUUCUUCUGCUGGACAAAACUCCAAGAGAAGGUAGCAGCUUUGGCUGUGUUAUAGCUCUGGAGCGAUACAGUGGUGGGGACUGAGGAUUUCGCAGUGUGUGCUCUCGGGCAAGGCCGACUGGGUGCUAUGGGAUCGUUCAGCGUACAAUGCAUGCAUUUUGCGCUGUGUCUUUUUCAUACUCGCUCAGCUCGGCUCUUCCACACUUAGGAUGUUGACUUAAUGGUUUUAAACGACCCGUCUUGAAACACGGACCAAGGAGUCUAACAUAUAUGCGAGUGUUUGGGUGGCAAACCCAUACGCGUAAUGAAAGUGAACGUAGGUGCGAUCCGCAAGGUGCAGCAUCGACCGAUCUUGAUAUUUUUGGAUAGAUUUGAGUAAGAGCAUAUAUGCUGGGACCCGAAAGAUGGUGAACUAUGCCUGAAUAGGGUGAAGCCAGAGGAAACUCUGGUGGAGGCUCGUAGCGAUUCUGACGUGCAAAUCGAUCGUCAAAUUUGGGUAUAGGGGCGAAAGACUAAUCGAUCAAUCUUAUACUUGUUCCUUGCUGUAUUUCCCUUCAGUAUUGCAGAAACUCGUUCAGUUU